UGUGUAGGCGGUUGCUUAAGUUUGGUGUGAAAUCUCCCGGCUCAACCGGGAGGGUGCGCCGAAUACUGAGUGACUCGAGUGCGGGAGAGGAGAGUGGAAUUCCUGGUGUAGCGGUGGAAUGCGUAGAUAUCAGGAGGAACACCGGUGGUGUAGACGGCUCUCUGGACCGUAACUGACGCUGAGACACGAAAGCGUGGGUAGCAAACAGGAUUAGAUACCCUGGUAGUCCACGCCCUAAACGAUGCAUAUUUGGUGUGGGCCGUUCAGUCGGUCCGUGCCGGAGCUAACGCGUUAAAUAUGCCGCCUGGGGAGUACAGUCGCAAGGCUGAA
rnacentral:rRNA from 1 species